AACGAACGCUGGCGGCAGGCUUAACACAUGCAAGUCGAACGCCCCGCAAGGGGAGUGGCAGACGGGUGAGUAACGCGUGGGAACAUACCCUUUUCUACGGAAUAGCUCUGGGAAACUGGAAUUAAUACCGCAUACGCCCUACGGGGGAAAGAUUUAUCGGGGAAGGAUGGGCCCGCGUUGGAUUAGCUAGUUGGUGGGGUAAAGGCCUACCAAGGCGACGAUCCAUAGCUGGUCUGAGAGGAUGAUCAGCCACAUUGGGACUGAGACACGGCCCAAACUCCUACGGGAGGCAGCAGUGGGGAAUAUUGGACAAUGGGCGCAAGCCUGAUCCAGCCAUGCCGCGUGAGUGAUGAAGGCCUUAGGGUUGUAAAGCUCUUUCACCGAUGAAGAUAAUGACGGUAGUCGGAGAAGAAGCCCCGGCUAACUUCGUGCCAGCCGCCGCAGUAAGAC
rnacentral:rRNA from 1 species